rnacentral:rRNA from 1 species
GUGUAAAGCUGGAGACAGCAAAGCCGAGCAUUACUAAUUGCCCGUCAGCUUUCCUUA